AAUCAACGCUGGCGGCGUGCCUCAGACAUGCAAGUCGAACGAUUAAACUUCCCUUCGGGGAAGAUAUACAGUGGCGCACGGGUGAGUAACACGUAGGUAAUGUACCUUUGGGUGGGGAAUAACUUAGGGAAACUUAAGCUAAUACCGCAUAAUGCAGCGGCUCCUUCGGGAGACAGUUGUUAAAGAUUUAUCGCCUAAAGAGCAGCCUGCGGCAGAUUAGCUAGUUGGUAAGGUAACGGCUUACCAAGGCUACGAUCUGUAUCCGACCUGAGAGGGUGGUCGGACACACUGACACUGAAUAACGGGUCAGACUCCUACGGGAGGCAGCAGUCGGGAAUUUUGGGCAAUGGGCGAAAGCCUGACCCAGCAACGCCGCGUGAAGGAUGAAGUCUUUCGGGAUGUAAACUUCGUAAGAAUAGGAAGAAUAAAUGACGGUACUAUUUGUAAGGUCCGGCUAACUACGUG
rnacentral:rRNA from 1 species